AUUGAACGCUGGCGGCAUGCCUUACACAUGCAAGUCGAACGGUAACAGGUCUUCGGAUGCUGACGAGUGGCGAACGGGUGAGUAAUACAUCGGAACGUGCCCGAUCGUGGGGGGUAACGGAGCGAAAGCUUUGCUAAUACCGCAUACGAUCUACGGAUGAAAGCAGGGGACCGCAAGGCCUUGCGCGAACGGAGCGGCCGAUGGCAGAUUAGGUAGUUGGUGGGAUAAAAGCUUACCAAGCCGACGAUCUGUAGCUGGUCUGAGAGGACGACCAGCCACACUGGGACUGAGACACGGCCCAGACUCCUACGGGAGGCAGCAGUGGGGAAUUUUGGACAAUGGGCGCAAGCCUGAUCCAGCAAUGCCGCGUGCAGGAUGAAGGCCUUCGGGUUGUAAACUGCUUUUGUACGGAACGAAAAGGCUCUGGUUAAUACCUGGGGCUCAUGACGGUACCGUAAGAAUAAGCACCGGCUAACUACGUGCCAGCAGCCGCUGUAACAC
rnacentral:rRNA from 1 species